rnacentral:rRNA from 1 species
GACGAACGCUGGCGGCGUGCUUAACACAUGCAAGUCGAACGAAGUGGCGAACGGGUGAGUAACGCGUAAUCAACCUGCCUUUCAGAGGGGGACAACAGUUGGAAACGACUGCUAAUACCGCAUACUGUAGGAGGGGAUUGCGUCUGAUGAGCUAGUUGGAGGGGUAACGGCCCACCAAGGCGAUGAUCAGUAGCCGGUCUGAGAGGAUGAACGAGCACAUUUGGACUGAGACACGGCCCCGACUUCUACGGGAGGGAGCAGUGGGGAAUCUUCCGCAAUGGAAGAAAGGCUGGCGGAAGAACUCCGCAUGAGAGAUAGCGGCCUUCGGGUUGUAAAGCUCUGUUAAUCGUGUAGCGGUACCGGAAUAGAAAGCCACGGCUAACUACGUGCCAGCAGCCGCGGUAAUAC